UACUAUAGAUACAACAACCCUUGAAUCUAUUAUCUAUAUAAACACCUUCUUUCUCCAAACCAAAACUCACUCAAAAAUUUAUAUCACCAGCAAAAAAACAUUCAUAUACACAUACGUAUACAGAGAGAGGAAAGAAAAAAGAAGAAGAAAUAAUGGAUGAAUGUCCAGCAGCAGGUAAGAACUCAUGGCCGGAGCUGAAGGGAAAGAAAGGAAAGGAAGCGAAGGAAACGAUAGAGAAGGAGAACAAGAAUGUGAAGGCCAUAGUGAUUCUGGAUGGGACUAAGGUGACUCAGGAGAUUGAUUGUGGGAGGGUUAGGGUUUGGGUUGAUGACUGUGGCAUCGUCGUUAAAGUCCCUAUGAUUGGCUAAUUAAGCUACUCAGCUGUACUUCAUUAUGAGCUGUCUAGCUCCGAUCACUGCUACUUUAUACAUAUAUAUAUAUAUAUAACGUAAUAAGUAGUUGAUGUGUAAUAAUUGCGACUACUUGAAUUAAUAAUGUUAUUAUCAUCAUCAAUAAAUUAAGUAUUAUUAUUGCAA